GGAGUUGUAGUCUAUUAGUUGGUAGAGCAUGAGCCUCUUAAUCUCAGGGUCGUGGGUUCGAGCUCCACGUUAGGCUGAAGACUCCA